UACGAAGGGGGCUAGCGUUGCUCGGAAUCACUGGUCGUAAAGGGUGCGUAGGCGGGUCUUUAAGUCAGGGGUGAAAUCCUGGAGCUCAACUCCAGAACUGCCUUUGAUACUGAGGAUCUUGAGUUCGGGAGAGGUGAGUGGAACUGCGAGUGUAGAGGUGAAAUUCGUAGAUAUUCGCAAGAACACCAGUGGCGAAGGCGGCUCACUGGCCCGAUACUGACGCUGAGGCACGAAAGCGUGGGGAGCAAACAGG
rnacentral:rRNA from 1 species